rnacentral:sRNA from 1 species
GCUGGGUGCGGUGGCACAUGCCUGUAAUUCUAGCAGCUUGGGAGGCUGAGGCAGGAGGAUUGCAAGUUCAAACCAACCUCAGCAACUUAGCAAGGCCCUAAGCAACUUAGCAAGACCCUGUCUCAA